UAGCGAUCGAAGCCGCCGCAAGUCACCGCCGCUAGCCUGGAGGCCUCAUGCCGCCACCGCUCGCCCCUUUCUCUGUAGGUCACCCACGCACCUGGGACCCGGGGCCGUUUCCUCCUCCCCACCAGGCUCGAGGAGGCCCGAGGAGGUGACCAUGAGGAGCGCGCAGCCGCCGGAGCCAUGGGUAGAUCCAGCCGGGACCGUCGGCAACCAUCCCUCCUUCCGGCGGCGAUGAAGAAUUGAAGAGGCUUGAGGAGAAUGGGCGCAUGGGCCGUGCGCGUCUCCCGCGCUAGGAGCCACCGGUCCUCGUCAUCUGCUAGGAUCCACGAGGAAUCGAUCCAUAUAAUGUUUGCGAGGAGCUCGGUUAGUGUUGAUGCCUCAAGGGUUUAUGCAUGUCAGUUCCAUGUUGCUUAAAGCCACUGUAACCAUGGCUACUGGUUUUCAUGUAUAUGUUUAUGCAGUCAUAACACGCUUGUUGACAACUCGUAUGGAAUGUUUAUAUUAUUUAUAAAUUUUCCAUGGAAUGUCUACUGUUAAAAAACAUCUUGCGGGUACUUUAGUUAGGUACUAGAAAGCACAUACAUACGCACAUGCCCAGCACAACCACAAGCACACAAUACAUCACAACACAUAUGUUCCACACAUACAUCACAACACAUAUGUGCUGCUUUUGACUUCUCAAUGGUAUGAUGAUGCUUUGCUCUGCCACUCUAAUUUUUUUGCAUUGGGGCACUUUGCAUGUGCUUGCUCCUGUGUAGUUGUUCUGCUCUGUUCACAUAAUGUCCAGAUACAACAAGUUAAUCUUGAUUCGUACAAGAGCUAAGUAGAGUUGUCUCAACUCUUUUUUUUAGGUUGUUUACCACACGUUUGCCACGUGGUGAUUGUUGAAACUCUAAAUACAAAUAGCGCAACAGUUUACUGCUAUGUAGUAUUAAAUGGGAUUAUGUAGGCAAAUGCACGGAUCACAGAAGAUCCCAUUGACCAGUGAAAAGUAAAUAACCUUUUUGACUAUUGCUCCCUUUGCUUCAGCGGUUCAGCCACAUCCCUGCGGCUUCUCCUCUCUCUCUCUCUCUCUCUCUCUCUCUCUCUCUCUCCCUCUCUCUCUCUCUCUCACUAUUCUGCACUUCAAACACAACGAUGUAGGAUGAGGCAAAGUACGCAGGUAACAUGAAAAAUACAUGAAAACAAGGCAAAUUUUGGUGUUGUAAUUUAUAGAUACCUCUUGGUUACUUUGUUUCAAAAUAAAUAAUUAAAUUUUGGCUGGCAUUUUCACCAAUGUAGCACCCAAAAAAAUCAUCUUUGAUGGAUUGAAUACGACAGAAGUUCUAUGCAGUUCGAUUGGUAAUUGUUCGUUCGUUGUCAUAUAAUUCAACAUUUUGCUCUCGGGCUAUCUAUGUGAUAUGUCUAUGUUAUCAACUCUUUAUUAGUAAAAAUAGUACCUAUUUUGCCAUAUCCAUGGUCAAUUCCUAUAUUUUUCCUUGGAAAAAUUCCUACAUAUUCCAUAGACCAUGUUGCAUUUUAGAAUUUCGUUCAAUGUUCGGCCCCCCUUAUGUAUAAUUCCUGGCUCCGCCGUUGCGCCUAACACAUGCGUGCAGGUGUGGGCAUCCCUUUAUUAGUCCCACUUGCAGUCUGAAUGUGUAUCCCUAAGAAAGUGAAUGGUCAUGAUAGUCUUCCUGAACUAUGACUAUGUGUAUCCAUUGAAGUAAUGUUCAUGCAAAUACUAUAAUUAUCGUUGUUGAAUAAUAAUAUUGAUCAUAAUAUAGGUCGCAUCCAAAGUAGUUUUAAAGACUUUAACAUAUCCAAACCAGCGAAAUGUUGCAUAUGCUACUAUUCAGAGUAUUGAUCUAGAAACUAAGGUUGGUGAUAUUUAGUUAGGUGCCGAAUUUGCACUUGUGUGCAUAGAUGAACCUAUUCUGGAUAAUGAGGAGUUAGUAAGGUAAGUUUCUAAUUGCAAGAGAAUUGGUGAUGCUUUUGCUUCAGGAUACUUAAUUGUCCAACCUCUAGCUUUUGUAAGUCGGAGUCUUUUCUUCCAUAUUCCACAAUUAUAUUUGUGUGCAUUUAAUCACAUAACUGCAAGGUCCAUUUUCCUUUUACAGAUUCAAAAGAAGCAUAAUGGAGUUGCAGCUGAACCGUUCUUCUGUUGGAUGAAGAAGCAAAUGUAAUUAGAAGAUUUUACUUAGCAAUAAUUGUAGUUUGCAUUGAUAGAUUGAAAAAUGUAACACCAUUCAGAAGAUCUUUUUCUUUGGUCGAAUUGAUGCAAAUGCUAUGGUGUAAUAUUCUCCAUAGAUGUGUUCUCUAUAGUAAAAUAUAUAUGAAUGAUAUGCUGUCUAGCCAAUAACAUUGGUAUGUAUUUAUUGUAAUGCAUAUGUAUCCUACACUCGUAUAUUCAUAAUAAAUACC
rnacentral:rRNA from 1 species